rnacentral:rRNA from 1 species
UACGUAGGGUGCGAGCGUUAAUCGGAAUUACUGGGCGUAAAGCGUGCGCAGGCGGUUAUGUAAGACAGUUGUGAAAUCCCCGGGCUCAACCUGGGAACUGCAUCUGUGACUGCAUAGCUAGAGUACGGUAGAGGGGGAUGGAAUUCCGCGUGUAGCAGUGAAAUGCGUAGAUAUGCGGAGGAACACCGAUGGCGAAGGCAAUCUCCUGGACCUGUACUGACGCUCAUGCACGAAAGCGUGGGGAGCAAACAGG